rnacentral:rRNA from 1 species
UACGUAGGGGGCAAGCGUUGUCCGGAAUCAUUGGGCGUAAAGAGCGUGUAGGCGGUCCGUUAAGUCGGCUGUGAAAGUCCAAGGCUCAACCUUGGGAUGCCGGUCGAUACUGCCGGACUAGAGUUCGGAAGAGGCGAGUGGAAUUCCCGGUGUAGCGGUGAAAUGCGCAGAUAUCGGGAGGAACACCUAUGGCGAAGGCGGCUUACUGGUCCAUAACUGACGCUGGAGGUGACGAAAGCGUCGGGGGAGCAAACAGG